GACGCUCAGGUGCCGAAAGCGGUGGGGGAGCAAACAGGAUUUAGAUAACCCUGGUAGUCCACGCUGUAAAACGAUGUCGACUUGGGAGGUUGUGCCCCUUGAGGCGUGGCUUCCGGAGCUAACGCGUUAAGUCGACCGCCUGGGGAGUACGGCCGCAAGGUUAAAACUCAAAUGAAUUGACGGGGGCCCGCACAAGCGGUGGAGCAUGUGGUUUAAUUCGAUGCAACGCGAAGAACCUUACCUACUCUUGACAUCCACAGAAUUCGCUAGAGAUAGCUUAGUGCCUUCGGGAACUGUGAGACAGGUGCUGCAUGGCUGUCGUCAGCUCGUGUUGUGAAAUGUUGGGUUAAGUCCCGCAACGAGCGCAACCCUUAUCCUUUGUUGCCAGCACGUGAUGGUGGGAACUCAAAGGAGACUGCCGGUGAUAAACCGGAGGAAGGUGGGGAUGACGUCAAGUCAUCAUGGCCCUUACGAGUAGGGCUACACACGUGCUACAAUGGCAUAUACAAAGAGAAGCGAACUCGCGAGAGCAAGCGGACCUCAUAAAGUAUGUCGUAGUCCGGAUCGGAGUCUGCAACUCGACUCCGUGAAGUCGGAAUCGCUAGUAAUCGUAGAUCAGAAUGCUACGGUGAAUACGUUCCCGGGCCUUGUACACACCGCCCGUCACACCAUGGGAGUGGGUUGCAAAAGAAGUAGGUAGC
rnacentral:rRNA from 1 species